AUUGAACGCUGGCGGCAGGCCUAACACAUGCAAGUCGAACGAGUGGCGGACGGGUGAGUAAUGUCUGGGAAACUGCCUGAUGGAGGGGGAUAACUACUGGAAACGGUAGCUAAUACCGCCUACCCUCAGAUUCGCCCAGAUGGGAUUAGCUAGUUGGUGGGGUAACGGCUCACCAAGGCGACGAUCCCUAGCUGGUCUGAGAGGAUGACCGGACAACCGGGAACUGAGACACGGUCCAGACUCCAUGGGGAGGCAGCAGGGGGGAAUAUUGGACAAUGGGCGAAAGCCUAAUGCAGACAUGCCGCGUGUAUGAAGAAGGCCUUCGGGUUGUAAAGUACUUUCAGCGGGUAGGCGUUACCCGCAGAAGAAGCAACGGCUAACUCCGUGCCAGCAGCCGCGGUAAUUC
rnacentral:rRNA from 1 species